UGAUUUGUCUAGUACAGAUACUCAUCUCUAGUUAUGGCAGAUCCAUACCUGACUGCUCAACAUCGCCCGUGAAAACUACUAUGUGAACAAUAUAUUUGUAAGAUUUUAAU
rfam:Populus trichocarpa isolate Nisqually-1 chromosome 3, whole genome shotgun sequence.